rnacentral:ncRNA from 1 species
AUUACAGCGUUGACAAAGCCAAGUAAAUAAAUGAAUGGUGUUAAGAGAGUGCUACAUCUGGUGCAAGUAGCAUCCCCGCUUUAUUUAUUGAACCUACUUUCGAGCUCGUUAUGCAAAACAUAACCGUUUGCCUUUACGUUAAAAGGGAGAAGUCGCACAUUUCUAAUGUGAACUAAGGUGGUACCGCGGAAACGAUAGCGUUUUCGUCCUUAAU